rnacentral:rRNA from 1 species
AUUGAACGCUGGCGGCAGGCCUAACACAUGCAAGUCGAACGAGUGGCGGACGGGUGAGUAAUGUCUGGGAAACUGCCCGAUGGAGGGGGAUAACUACUGGAAACGGUAGCUAAUACCGCAUACCAUCGGAUGUGCCCAGAUGGGAUUAGCUAGUAGGUGGGGUAACGGCUCACCUAGGCGACGAUCCCUAGCUGGUCUGAGAGGAUGACCAGCCACACUGGAAAUGAGAGACGGGCCAGACUCCUACGGGAGGCAGCAGUGGGGAAUAUUGAAAAAUGGGAGAAAGCCUGAGGCAGCCAUGCCGCGUGGAUGAAGAAGGCCGUCGGGUUGGAAAGUACUUUCAGCGAGGAGGCGUUACUCGCAGAAGAAGCACCGGCUAACUCCGUGCCAGCAGCCGCGGUAAUUC